GCCUUCUUCGUGUAAACGGAGAAGAGGAUUUCGUAAUAGAGCAAAAACCAAGCGGGGUAAAGGCUGCAGUUGAGGACAUUGGGAAAAUGCAACAUCAAUGUGAACGCCACUUGAACCACCAUGCCCAGACUGAAUAAGUUUACAAGCAUCAUUAUACUGAGCUGUAAGAAUAACAAGCCAAUCAUGAAGUAACAUUCUGCCCUCUCGAACACCUUGCUCCAACGAGGCUAGAAUAACCUUGUGGACAAGUAAUGAAAGCACCACUUCAGAAUCAACACAGUCAUAAAUCUCAUUUAUGCUAUGACCUACUCCAAACUGAAGAGUUCGAAUCCUUAAUCUCUUUUUGAGAGAAUGCUUUGCUCUUGUUGUAGUAUUUGAUCCUGCAUUUGCUAGUUCAUCUGGUGGGACAACAACAGUAUACUGAAA
rnacentral:misc_RNA from 1 species